CCGAGUAACUGCCAACCCUCGUGCGAUCAAUACCUUAUACAUGUUUGCCUUCGGCGGAUCAGCCCGCAGCCCCGCUUAAAAGGGUACGUGCCGCCCGAGGAAACCUAAACUCUGUAUUUAGUGAAUUGUCUGAGUAAAACAAACAAAUUAAAUCAUUA
rnacentral:misc_RNA from 1 species